rnacentral:lncRNA from 1 species
UGAAGUGAGAGACUCGAACAACCAAUGCUUUGUUUCCGUUCUCGUACGACGUGGGACUCUGGUCUGGUCUCUCACCCUUGUUCCUAUCAAACGUUUCAUUCAAUGUUUUUCCUCCACGCUCUCUCCUCAUGCGCGUGAGAUUCACUUCUCUCUCCCUUAUUUUUCUUCUUCUUCUUCUCCCUCUCCUCUCCUCUCCUCUC